rnacentral:rRNA from 1 species
AGAGUUUGAUCCUGGCUCAGAACGAACGCUGGCGGCGUGCCUAACACAUGCAAGUCGAACGAGAAAGGGAUCUUCGGAUCCCGAGUAGAGUGGCGCACGGGUGAGUAACACGUGGAUAACCUGCCCUAUGAUCUGGGAUAACAUUUCGAAAGGGAUGCUAAUACCGGAUAAGCCUACNACUUCUUCGGAAGAUGUAGGAAAAGAUUUAUCGUCAUAGGAUGGGUCCGCGGUCCAUUAGUUAGUUGGUGGGGUAACGGCCUACCAAGACCACGAUGGAUAGCUGGUCUGAGAGGAUGAUCAGCCACACUGGAACUGAGACACGGUCCAUACUCCUACGGGAGGCAGCAGUGGGGAAUUUUGCGCAAUGGGGGAAACCCUGACGCAACAACGCCCGCGUGAAGGAUGAAGCCCUUGGGUCGUAAACUUCUGU